GAGAAGCCAUGCUUGGAUUCAAAGGUUCCUACAUUACUGUCCUGCAAUUACAGGUAAUUUAUCAAGUUUUUCUCAUGUGUAACAGAUGAUGAUAAUAACACCUCUUUUAUUUCUUUAUUCCCCAUCAUACAGCUUGAAGGACCUUAGUUUCCCAACCAGUGAUCAAACCCAUGCCCGCUGAAGUGGAAACACGGAGUCUUAACCACUGGACUGCCAGGAAAAUCCCAACAUUUAUUUUUAAAGAGAAUAUUAACCAUCUGGCUUUGAAUAAAAUAAGCUGCUGGAUGUUGACAUUAUGGCUCCUGAUAAGAGAAAAAAAUCUGACAGAAGAAACUAUAGAUAUUUUGGUUCAGCAUUGCAGCUGGCACAGGUCCUGCCUAAGAAAUAAAAACUUGAUUUUGUAUAUUUAGAAUAUUUUUAAAUGCAAUAAUCAUUUUCGGAAAUAAAACAAGUUGUUUUCUGACUAAU
rnacentral:lncRNA from 1 species